rnacentral:sRNA from 1 species
GCUGUGUACGGUACCAUAUUCAUGAUAUUAUCUAUCUAGGAGGUGAUGGGGAUAUUUGUUUUCGUUGUUUUCAUACAUUUGGUGAAGAUACUAGUAUGUAUGUACUGUACAUACAUCAGUUAAGACCUCGCCUGCCUAAAUAUCCUAUACAGGGUUUUGUUCUGUUUUACUUGCUUGUUUUUGCAAACAAAGCCCCUUCAUUUAUUUACGAGAGAAAACAAUUUGCGUAUUUAUUUGUAUAUCCUGACGGCUUCUUUGAGGAUUGAAAAUAAACCAUUUUUGGCCCCCCUUCCUUCGAGCUCCUGACACCAGCACCCGACCCCGCUGAGUGCAAAACCUGCGAUUUGAACUUUUGAUGCUGGUUGCAAGCGAGCCACCAUGGCUGGCUAGAAUGCCGCGGAAGUGAGAGCACGGUUACGAUGGCGCAGUUACACCACCAACAAACUACUCUCAGCCACUUCGCUAACAAAAUGGCCAGGUCUGCGAACGAUUGCUCCAACGCAGACACCACUCGGUGACUAUGAUUCUUUGCACGAUCCUCCCCCAUUCCCAGCAACCUCCUCGCCUCCCUGCCCCUGGCUUUCCGGGACAAACUCGGAAUUCUCCUUGGAGUUUUACAGACCACAGACGGCCUUAGCCUUCUCAGGUGCUCACUUUUCGUUCGGUAAGGAAGCCUAGCGAAGUGGAUUGGGGUGCGGGGUUUCAACGACUACAAUCGCCAAUUCCUCUUGGAAAGCUUGGUAGGUAGGUAUGUUUAAAUGAUACGCUGGAGGUGAAGAGGUACACCCCUGGCUGCCACCCGAAGGAAAUGCAGAUUGCGAGUUUCUAGUUUCCCUGUCUUCAUAUCAAACACUUGAAAGGGGAUCUUGUUUAUUGGAGCAAACAUCGGCCAACCUGGACAUUCGGGACAUGCUGGACAUGCUGGACAUGCUGCGUGAGCCAUUCUUUUGGCAUUUAGGAGUCAGAGAGUCCAAAUUUCUGACUUUCACGCUGCCCAUCCCCCUAUUUAAGCUGGACUAAGACCAAUUUGAAGCCAAAAUGCACUAAAAUAUGUAUCAUCGCUCAUUCAAUAGUUGACUACCUCGUUCUGAAGCAACAUGUGGUAUUUUAUGUUGCAUUUUCUUUUCCCCCAAGAGCCCUCUCAAUUCAACCCACAUUUAUCUUUUCUUUCUAGAUGCGUAUAAUGGAUCGAAAGAGAAAAAGAACUAAACGUCGGCAGCUUGUCUUCG